rnacentral:rRNA from 1 species
CCUACGGGCGGCAGCAGUGAGGAAUAUUGGUCAAUGGACGAGAGUCUGAACCAGCCAAGUAGCGUGAAGGAUGACUGCCCUAUGGGUUGUAAACUUCUUUUAUAUGGGAAUAAAAUGUUCCACGUGUGGGAUUAGGUAUGUACCAUAUGAAUAAAGAUCGGCUAACUCCGGUCCAGCAGGCGCGGUAAAUCGGAAGAUCCGAGCGUUAUCCGGAUUUAUUGGGUUUAAAGGGAGCGUAGGUGGAUUGUUAAGGUAGUUGGGAAAAUUUGCGGCUCAACCGUCAAAGUGCCGUUGAAACUGGCGGUCUUGAGUACAGUAGAGGUGGGCGGAAUUCGUGGUGUAGCGGUGAAAUGCUUAGAUAUCACGAAGAACUCCGAUUGCGAAGGCAGCUCACUGGACUGCAACUGACACUGAGGCUCGAAAGUGUGGGUAUCAAACAGGAUUAGAUACCCGGGUAGUC